rnacentral:rRNA from 1 species
GUGUCAGCCGCCGCGGUAAUACAGAGGGUGCGAGCGUUGUUCGGAAUUACUGGGCGUAAAGCGCGCGCAGGCGGCUCUUUAAGUCCGCUGGUCAAAGACCGGGGCUCAACCCCGCGUCAGCCAGGGAUACUGGAGGGCUGGAGACAGGUAGAGGCAAGCGGAAUUCCGGGUGUAGCGGUGGAAUGCGUAGAGAUCCGGAAGAACACCGGAGGCGAAGGCGGCUUGCUGGACCUGGUCUGACGCUGAGGCGCGAAAGCGUGGGGAGCGAACAGGAUUAGAUACCCGUGUAGUCC